rnacentral:rRNA from 1 species
AGCAGCCGCGGUAAUUCCAGCUCCAAUAGCGUAUAUUAAAGUUGUUGCAGUUAAAAAGCUCGUAGUUGAAUUUCGGGAUCAAUAUGUUGGUCGUGCCUCGGUACGUACUAGCUUAUUGGUUUCUCCUUUCUGAAGAACCAUGAUGUCAUUUAUUUGGUGUCGUGGGGAAUCAGGACUGUUACUUUGAAAAAAUUAGAGUGUUUAAAGCAGGCUCACGCUUGAAUACAUUAGCAUGGAAUAAUGAAAUAGGACGUUUGAUUCUAUUUUGUUGGUUUUUAGGAUCGACGUAAUGAUUAAUAGGGAUAGUUGGGGGCAUUAGUAUUCAAUUGUCAGAGGUGAAAUUCUUGGAUUUAUUGAAGACUAACUACUGCGAAAGCAUUUGCCAAGGAUGUUUUCAUUAAUCUAAGAACGAAAGUUAGGGGAUCGAAGACGAUCAGAU